AGAGUUUGAUUCUGGCUCAGGAUGAACGCUAGCUACAGGCUUAACACAUGCAAGUCGGGGGCAGCAUGGAGGUUGCUUGCAACCUCUGAUGGCGACCGGCGCACGGGUGAGUAACGCGUAUCCAACCUUCCCCUUAGUAGGGCAUAGCCCGGCGAAAGUCGGAUUAAUACCCUAUGUUAUUCGUCGAGGACAUCUGAAGUGAAUCAAAGGUUUACCGCUAAGGGAUGGGGAUGCGUCUGAUUAGGUAGUCGGCGGGGUAACGGCCCACCGAGCCUUCGAUCAGUAGGGGUUCUGAGAGGAAGGUCCCCCACACUGGUACUGAGACACGGACCAGACUCCUACGGGAGGCAGCAGUGAGGAAUAUUGGUCAAUGGGCGGGAGCCUGAAAACCCAGCCAAGUAGCGUGCAGGAUGACGGCCCUACGGGUUGUAAACUGCUUUAGCGGGGAAUAAAGUGGGGGACGCGUCCCCUUUUGUAUGUACCCCGAGAAUAAGGACCGGCUAAUUCCGUGCCAGCCGCCGC
rnacentral:rRNA from 1 species